GAUGAACGCUGGCGGCGUGUCUAAUACAUGCAAGUCGAGCGAACGGACGAGAAGCUUGCUUCUCUGAUGUUAGCGGCGGACGGGUGAGUAACACGUGGAUAACCUACCUAUAAGACUGGGAUAACUUCGGGAAACCGGAGCUAAUACCGGAUAAUAUUUUGAACCGCAUGGUUCAAAAGUGAAAGACGGUCUUGCUGUCACUUAUAGAUGGAUCCGCGCUGCAUUAGCUAGUUGGUAAGGUAACGGCUUACCAAGGCAACGAUGCAUAGCCGACCUGAGAGGGUGAUCGGCCACACUGGAACUGAGACACGGUCCAGACUCCUACGGGAGGCAGCAGUAGGGAAUCUUCCGCAAUGGGCGAAAGCCUGACGGAGCAACGCCGCGUGAGUGAUGAAGGUCUUCGGAUCGUAAAACUCUGUUAUUAGGGAAGAACAUAUGUGUAAGUAACUGUGCACAUCUUGACGGUACCUAAUCAGAAAGCCACGGCUAACUACGUGCCAGCAGCCGCGGUAAUACGUAGGUGGCAAGCGUUAUCCGGAAUUAUUGGGCGUAAAGCGCGCGUAGGCGGUUUUUUAAGUCUGAUGUGAAAGCCCACGGCUCAACCGUGGAGGGUCAUUGGAAACUGGAAAACUUGAGUGCAGAAGAGGAAAGUGGAAUUCCAUGUGUAGCGGUGAAAUGCGCAGAGAUAUGGAGGAACACCAGUGGCGAAGGCGACUUUCUGGUCUGUAACUGACGCUGAUGUGCGAAAGCGUGGGGAUCAAACAGGAUUAGAUACCCUGGUAGUCCACGCCGUAAACGAUGAGUGCUAAGUGUUAGGGGGUUUCCGCCCCUUAGUGCUGCAGCUAACGCAUUAAGCACUCCGCCUGGGGAGUACGACCGCAAGGUUGAAACUCAAAGGAAUUGACGGGGACCCGCACAAGCGGUGGAGCAUGUGGUUUAAUUCGAAGCAACGCGAAGAACCUUACCAAAUCUUGACAUCCUCUGACCCCUCUAGAGAUAGAGUUUUCCCCUUCGGGGGACAGAGUGACAGGUGGUGCAUGGUUGUCGUCAGCUCGUGUCGUGAGAUGUUGGGUUAAGUCCCGCAACGAGCGCAACCCUUAAGCUUAGUUGCCAUCAUUAAGUUGGGCACUCUAAGUUGACUGCCGGUGACAAACCGGAGGAAGGUGGGGAUGACGUCAAAUCAUCAUGCCCCUUAUGAUUUGGGCUACACACGUGCUACAAUGGACAAUACAAAGGGCAGCGAAACCGCGAGGUCAAGCAAAUCCCAUAAAGUUGUUCUCAGUUCGGAUUGUAGUCUGCAACUCGACUAUAUGAAGCUGGAAUCGCUAGUAAUCGUAGAUCAGCAUGCUACGGUGAAUACGUUCCCGGGUCU
rnacentral:rRNA from 1 species